AACAAACCUAAUCGAUUUACACUAACGCAUAUAGGAACAUGAGAUCCCCAAGGCAAAGGGUAGAUUCGCUUGACAUGUGACAAAGCACUCUCCCAAUAUUCAUUAAAAGUAAAAUUUUGCUCACUUAUUUUAAAAUGAAGAAAACUUGUCUAGAAAUUAGCACCGAAAACAUCACUUUUCACUAAUAGAUCCUACGGUAUUUUUCUCUUACCUAAAAAUUUUCAUUGCUAAAAAUUCAGAAAACUCUCCCUCCACCACCGGGUUCGGGGCACCUAAGGGCCGCCCCUAACCUUCAGGCGCUUCGGCCCUCCUCCUCCCAACCCGGGUGGACCCGCGUGGUUCCAGGAAGCAGCCGCUGCCGCACCGUCUCCCCUCGGCGCGAAGCCGAUCGCGAGCUCCUCUCCCGCCAUCCACCCGGCCCUCAGUGGCAGGCAUGAGCCCUCGGCGCCCCGCAAACAGUUGUGAAAAACAGCAAAAGCCACAAUGAAGGUGCUUGCCCUCAGUUUGCCCUCACUCUGCCUUGUGACUGACCUGGUGCUUCCCUUGGGUGGCAUGCUGUGUUCCCCCAAGAGCUUGUGUGUUGAGCUCGGCAAGGAAGGGUUUUCUACUAGACGCCCCCACUACCAAGGUCAGAAGCAAGGAGAACAAGGAGAACUGAGUGAAUUCAGCUCCAGCUGACUUGACUCAACUGCCUAUUAUUAACGUUAAUUUUUCUGGAUACCACCAAAAUCUGAGGAGCAUUCUCCGCAUCAGAGAAAAAGUUCUUACACUCUCUUGAAUGACCAUUUUAUAGGAGUGGAAAAAGUGCUAAUAAAGACUGAGUCAUCUACCUUGUUAACCUUAA